rnacentral:rRNA from 1 species
UUAGCAGUGAGGAAUAUUGGUCAAUAGCCUAACGGCUGAACCAGCAACUUGGAGGAAUGUAUAGCAAUAGCUACUUGUAUCAUUAAUGAUGCAAGCUCGACUAUGUUGAAUAAAAUUCUAGGUAGAAUUAUGAUAAUGACAUUGUCUGCCUAUGUGUCUUGACCAAAUUACGUGCCAGCAGUCGCGGUAAUACGUAGAAGACUAGUGUUAUUCAUGUUUAAUCGGUUUAAAGGGUACCUAGACGGUGAAUCAAGCUUUAGAAUAAAGAAGAAAAGGAACUAAUUCGCUAGAGUUACUUACGAGGGGGUAGUAAAGUACUGCUGGUGUAGAGAUGAAAUUCUGUCAUACCUCUUUUCGAAAGAAAAAUUAUGGCACAGGUAUAGGCGAAGGCAUCCCCUUAUGUGAUAACUGACGUUGAAGGACGAAGGACUUCGUGGAACAAACAGGAUUAGAUACCCUAGUAGUUGAAGCAGAAAAUGAUGAAUGUCAUAGAUUAGACGUCUAAGUUUAUUCUAUAAAUGAAAGUGUAAGCAUUCCACCUCAUGAGUAAUUUGGCAACAUUGGAAUUGAAAUCAUUAGACCGUUUCUGAAACCAGUAGUGAAGUAUGUUGUUUAAUUUGAUAAUACGCAAAAAACCUUACCACAAUUUGAAUAUUUAUAUUGUUUAUUGUUAUCUUAUUAAUUUUCUUAAAAAAACUAAUUAUAGCAAAAGCAUUUUAAAACAGGAAAAGAAAAUUAAUCAAGAGGCAAUAACAUAUAUCUACAAGCGUUGCACGGCUGUCUUCAGUUAAUGUCGCGAGACUUUGGUUAGUUCCAUUAAAUUAACGUAAACCCUUACUUUAUUUUUUAUAUAGAGUAGUUCCCCGCUAUAUUGGAUAUGAUAACAGGGACUAAGACAAGUCAUCAUGGCCUAAAUAUUGUGGGCUAUAGACGUGCCACA